rnacentral:rRNA from 1 species
CCAACGGGAGGCAGCAGUGGGGAAUUGUUCGCAAUGGGCGAAAGCCUGACGACGCAACGCCGCGUGGAGGAUGAAGGUCUUCGGAUUGUAAACUCCUGUUGCUCGGGACGAAUAGCUUCAACCUAAUACGUUGAGGUCUGACGGUACCGAGUGAGGAAGCCCCGGCUAACUCUGUGCCAGCAGCCGCGGUAAUACAGAGGGGGCAAGCGUUGUUCGGAAUUACUGGGCGUAAAGGGCGCGUAGGCGGCCCGCUACGUCGAACGUGAAAUCCCCGGGCUCAACCCGGGAACUGCGUCCGAUACUGGUGGGCUUGAAUCCGGGAGAGGGAUGUGGAAUUCCAGGUGUAGCGGUGAAAUGCGUAGAUAUCUGGAGGAACACCGGUGGCGAAGGCGGCAUCCUGGACCGGCAUUGACGCUGAGGCGCGAAAGCCAGGGGAGCAAACGGGAUUAGAUACCCCGGUAGUCCUGGCCCUAAACGAUGAAUGCUUGGUGUGGCGGGUAUCGAUCCCUGCCGUGCCGAAGCUAACGCAUUAAGCAUUCCGCCUGGGGAUACGGUCGCAAGGCUGAAACUCAAAGGAAUUGACGG